rnacentral:rRNA from 1 species
CCUACGGGAGACAGCAGUGAGGAAUAUUGGUCAAUGGACGAGAGUCUGAACCAGCCAAGCCGCGUGAAGGAUGACUGCCCUGUGGGUUGUAAACCUCUUUUAUAAAGGAACAAAACGAGGCACGUGUGCCCUUUUGCGUGUACUUUAUGAAAAAGGAUCGGCUAACUCCGUGCCAGCAGCCGCGGUAAUACGGAGGAUCCGAGCGUUAUCCGGAUUUAUUGGGUUUAAGGGGUGCGCAGGCGGGCAUUUAAGUCAGCGGUCAAAUGUCGGGGCUCAACCCCGGCCUGCCGUUGAAACUGGCUGCCUUGAGUUGGCGAGAAGUAUGCGGAAUGCGCGGUGUAGCGGUGAAAUGCAUAGAUAUCGCGCAGAACCCCGAUUGCGAAGGCAGCAUGCCGGCGCCCUACUGACGCUGAGGCACGAAAGUGCGGGUAUCGAACAGGAUUAGAUACCCGAGUAGUC